rnacentral:lncRNA from 1 species
GGGAGGUUUGAGCAAUUAGGAAACAACAGAGAGCUCAGAGUCCACAAAACAAACAAGUUAAGGGAUGCUUGGGAUAUUUGCACAUACAUGUGCCUUCCGCAUGAGGUCACAUAUAGACACCCUCCAGGCUGGGUGGGCUGCAGGCCCUUGGGAAGCAGAAACAGAGGCUGGCAGUGGUGAUCAUGGGCUUCAUGCAUAUCAACUUUUUUGAGUAUAAAGGAAAGAGAAAGAAAUUAAUUCAUCUCUCACAGUGAAGCUCAGGCCCAUCCCGCACCGUUCUUCCAUUCUGAAUGUAAAUGUGAUCCAUGAUACCGCCCAGGAGCAGGGAGACUGGGAACAACCAAGUUUGAACCACAGAGUGUUACCCGUCCCCAUUCAACAGAUGGCAUCUACACGAUGGCCUGAGAGGACUUAGUUGCACCGGUCCAUUUGGAGACAGCACCUGCCCCUUCUGAGCUUUUCAGCUACAAAGGAAGCUGGCUGGAGAAGCCAGCAGCUGGACCGGAGCUGGAGACUAGGAGGCUGGAAGACACUGAAUGAGCGUGAAAUUGACCAGUUAAAGUUAAGCCCUUUCACCUGCUAGCACCGAAGCUCUGCUCACUGGUGCCACCGGAAGUUCAGAUGAGCCUCUGGCACAUUUAAAUAGAUACGCUGGUUUCCUUGGAUUUCAUUCAUUUCUUUUUUUUCUUUCUUUUGUUUUUGUUUGUUUGUUUAUUGCUGGUUUGGUUUGGUUUGGUUUGGUUUGAGACAGAAUUUCUCUGUGUGGUUUUUGGGUGUCUUGGAAUUCCCAGAGAUCUGCCUGCUUCUGCCUUCUGGAAUUAAAGGCCCUUCCCCCACACAC